rnacentral:rRNA from 1 species
UACGGGGGGGGCAAGCGUUGUUCGGAAUUACUGGGCGUAAAGGGCGCGUAGGCGGUUGGAUAAGUCAGCUGUGAAAACCACGGGCUUAACUCGUGGCCUGCAGUUGAGACUGUCUGGCUUGAGUGUGGGAGAGGAGAGUGGAAUUCCUGGCGUAGCGGUGAAAUGCGUAGAUAUCAGGAGGAACACCGGUGGCGAAGGCGGCUCUCUGGACCACAACUGACGCUGAGGCGCGAAAGCUAGGGGAGCAAACAGG